GUAGGUGAACCUGCGGAAGGAUCAUUACCAUAUCCAAAUUUACCAACCCACCGUGUGAACCGUUUUUUAAGGAAAAAGCUUUCAACAGUUUUUUUGGCCUUGAGAACACUAUAAACUUUGGGGGAACACUACGCACUAAAAAGGGAAAAGUGCAAGGAAAGGUGCAGCAAUGCUAUCGAUCCUUGUGUUAUUACCAAUUUUUUGUUUAGUUUCCCCAUUUGCAUUUUCAUAAAUGCAGAGUCGUUUGUAU
rnacentral:misc_RNA from 1 species